rnacentral:rRNA from 1 species
GAUGAACGCUAGCUACAGGCUUAACACAUGCAAGUCGAGGGGUAACGAGAGGAAAGCUUGCUUUCCUUGUCGACGACCGGCGCACGGGUGAGUAACGCGUAUCCAACCUGCCCCCAACUAAGGAAUAACCUUGCGAAAGUAAGACUAAUACCUUAUAAUUUCCUCAGAUGUCAUCUGACGAGGAAUAAAGAUUUAUCGGUUGUGGAUGGGGAUGCGUCUGAUUAGCUGGUUGGCUGGGUAACGGCCCACCAAGGCAACGAUCAGUAGGGGUUCUGAGAGGAAGGUCCCCCACAUUGGAACUGAGACACGGUCCAAACUCCUACGGGAGGCAGCAGUGAGGAAUAUUGGUCAAUGGGCGAAAGCCUGAACCAGCCAAGUAGCGUGCAGGAUGACGGCCCUAUGGGUUGUAAACUGCUUUUAUACAGGAAUAAAGUUAGCCACGUGUGGUUAUUUGUAGGUACUGUAUGAAUAAGGACCGGCUAAUUCCGUGCCAGCAGCCGCCGUAA